rnacentral:rRNA from 1 species
GACGAACGCUGGCGGCGUGCUUAACACAUGCAAGUCGAACGGAAAGGCCCUGCUUUUGUGGGGUGCUCGAGUGGCGAACGGGUGAGUAACACGUGAGUAACCUGCCCUUGACUUUGGGAUAACUUCAGGAAACUGGGGCUAAUACCGGAUAGGAGCUCCUGCUGCAUGGUGGGGGUUGGAAAGUUUCGGCGGUUGGGGAUGGACUCGCGGCUUAUCAGCUUGUUGGUGGGGUAGUGGCUUACCAAGGCUUUGACGGGUAGCCGGCCUGAGAGGGUGACCGGCCACAUUGGGACUGAGAUACGGCCCAGACUCCUACGGGAGGCAGCAGUGGGGAAUAUUGCACAAUGGGCGGAAGCCUGAUGCAGCAACGCCGCGUGCGGGAUGACGGCCUUCGGGCUGUAAACCGCUUUCGCCUGUGACGAAGCGUGAGUGACGGUAAUGGGUAAAGAAACACCGGCUAACUACGUG